GGCACCCCCAGCGCCGCUCGCCCCGAGCGGGCCGGGCCGGGCCGGGCCCGGGGCUCCCGGUGCGGCGGUAAAGGUGCUGCCACACAGCACGGCCACGCCGGAAUGACACCUGAUCAAGUGCUGGAUAAUUUCUUGGCAGCAGCUAAGGUGAUUGCUUUGGUAGCUGAAAUUAAUGGGGCUGCUGCUACCCGUGAGCUUGAGAUAAAAGUAGAAGUAGUCCAAGAACCUGGUGAUCAUUAUGAUGGAGAAAUUCCACAACUGGUGCCUAUGCAAAGAAGAGGCCUUGCUGAGCUGAAGAAAACGGAACAAAGUCAAGAAGAAGGUGACAUCCUGUGUGAGAAAACCAGCCUUUCCCUUGGUGAGAGAAAGAGACAACCUCUGGAAAGUCCAAAAUCAAAACUUAAAGUUACCGGAGAAUGUGACUCUCAGACUCAUAGACAUCACCAAAACAGAAAAAAACUCCAUCUCUGGCAGCAAUGCUCCUGUGGCACCUCAAAGCAGAUCAGCACCUACACCACGGGCCUGGGGAAAAGCACUUGUGACUGUUCAGCUCCAGGCAUUUUAAGGCUCAAAGGAUCUUCAGGUCUUAGCACUUCUUGCUCUUCAGAAGCUGAUAAGUCUUGUAAUGUAUAAAUAAACAUACUGAUUUUAAAGAUCGUCCCUAAACAGCAAGCCCACAAAUCUUUCACUAAAAUAUAUAUAUAAGGAAAGUGGGAUUAUCUAAAGCAAAGUCUUCAUUCAGGUUAUAUUGGAACAUUACCUGUUUGUGCACUUGCAAUAAAACUGUUUCAUAGUUCCAUAGUUUCACAGAUGGCAAUAACAGUAGCAAUUUUGGUUUUUAAUCUAAUAAUUUAGGAUGUAGCAGUCACAGACAGGAAAGUGAGCAUGGAAUUUUAAAUAGUCCAUUCAGUACUUCACUGUCUCCAUCUACAAAGGAUCUUUUGCAAAAUGUCUUGACAGCUCUGUGGAGUAAUUGCUGUUUUCUUCUAGUCUUUAAUGACAUGGUGGAAAACCAUAUAAUAGAGAAGCAGUGCUAUCUGAGACUACAUUUGCCUCUAGACCAACUUUAAAGGAGCAGACUAGAGAUUCUGAGAGCUUUCCACAUUGCUGGCCCCACUGCAUGGAGUGGAAGGUCUCUCCUGGAAAAAGUGAAGUUUUAAAGACACUACAUCUUUCUAUGGAAACUGCUGCCUACAGCAGACUGAUAGUGUGUUUUAAAAGUAGUCUAAAUUUGCUGGCAGAGCCCAGUGGGAAAUUAAAGUUUCUUAUAUUGCACAAGUGUGAUUUAUGUGGGAUGCCAUUGUACCUUCAUAAAGGUACAAACAGCCUACCAUCAUGUUAAGCCAUUUCUAAGGUCACCUAGUACAGUUUCCCAAGGAGCAUCCAGAAAAUAUGUGCUUCUUAGCAGGAGUAGUCAGUAAGAGAAGUAUUCCUUAAUCAAAGAAAUUCUCUCUAAGAAUAAAAUAUUCUACUUUU